AGAGUUUGAUUCUGGCUCAGAUUGAACGCCGGCGGCAUGCCUUACACAUGCAAGUCGAACGGUAACAGGGAGCUUGCUCCGCUGACGAGUGGCGAACGGGUGAGUAAUACAUCGGAACGUGUCCUGUAGUGGGGGAUAGCCCGGCGAAAGCCGGAUUAAUACCGCAUACGAUCUACGGAUGAAAGGGGGGGAUUCUUCGGAACCUCUCGCUAUAGGGGCGGCCGAUGGCAGAUUAGCUAGUUGGUGGGGUAAAGGCCUACCAAGGCGACGAUCUGUAGCUGGUCUGAGAGGACGACCAGCCACACUGGGACUGAGACACGGCCCAGACUCCUACGGGAGGCAGCAGUGGGGAAUUUUGGACAAUGGGCGAAAGCCUGAUCCAGCAAUGCCGCGUGUGUGAAGAAGGCCUUCGGGUUGUAAAGCACUUUUGUUCGGGAAGAAAAGGACUGGGAUAAUACCCUGGUCUGAUGACGGUACCGGAAGAAUAAGCACCGGCUAACUACGUGCCAGCAGCCGCGGUAAUACGUAGGGUGCAAGCGUUAAUCGGAAUUACUGGGCGUAAAGCGUGCGCAGGCGGUUCGUUAAGACAGAUGUGAAAUCCCCGGGCUUAACCUGGGAACUGCAUUUGUGACUGGCGAGCUAGAGUCUGGCAGAGGGGGGUGGAAUUCCGCGUGUAGCAGUGAAAUGCGUAGAUAUGCGGAGGAACACCGAU
rnacentral:rRNA from 1 species